AACGAACGCUGGCGGCAUGCCUAACACAUGCAAGUCGAACGAGACCUUCGGGUCUAGUGGCGCACGGGUGCGUAACGCGUGGGAACCUGCCCUUAGGUUCGGAAUAACUCCCCGAAAGGGGUGCUAAUACCGGAUAAUGUCUUCGGACCAAAGAUUUAUCGCCUUUGGAUGGGCCCGCGUUGGAUUAGCUAGUUGGUAGGGUAAAAGCCUACCAAGGCGACGAUCCAUAGCUGGUCUGAGAGGAUGAUCAGCCACACUGGGACUGAGACACGGCCCAGACUCCUACGGGAGGCAGCAGUGGGGAAUAUUGGACAAUGGGCGAAAGCCUGAUCCAGCAAUGCCGCAUGAGUGAGGAAGGCCUUAGGGUUGUAAAGCUCUUUUACCCGGGAUGAUAAUGACAGUACCGGGAGAAUAAGCUCCGGCUAACUCCGUG
rnacentral:rRNA from 1 species